ACGAAGGGUGCAAGCGUUACUCGGAAUUACUGGGCGUAAAGCGUGCGUAGACGGUUAUUUAAGUCGGGUGUGAAAGCCCCGGGCUCAACCUGGGAAUUGCAUUCGAGACUGAAUAGCUAGGGUACGGUAGAGGGAAGCGGAAUUUCCGGUGUAGCGGUGAAAUGCGUAGAUAUCGGAAGGAACAUCAGUGGCGAAAGCGGCUUCCUGGACCAGUACCGACGUUCAGGCACGACAGCAUGGGGAGCGAACGGGA
rnacentral:rRNA from 1 species